UUUGGAUUGUUGAGCAUAUUGCUCUAGCAAAAACGUAUGGUGUUGAAUAGCCAUUGCAACCUUCUGUUAAUGAAGGUCAUCAUCAUCAGACUCAUCAUUGAAGAAAUUUUGUAUAGCCUUCCCACGUGAAUUCAUUGUAAGAAGGAGAAUUGAAGGAGAUUGUGUGGUUAAUUCAGUAGAAUAACACUUCUUAAAUAGACAAGAGAAUGAGAUUACAUGUUUGAAAAUAAUUGAAUGAAGAUAGGAAAAGAUAGGGAAAGAUAAGGGAAUCCAAUAAAGUGAGAUGAACAAAGAUGAGCAAUGGUUCAGAACGUGAUUGAAACAAGACAAGAUGGGAAAUGGUUCAGAAAAUAAUUGAAUGAAGAUAGGAAAAGAUAGGGAGAGAUAAGGGAAUCCAAUAAAGUGAGAUGGACAAAGUUGAGCAAUGGUUCAGAACAUGAUUGAAACAAGACAAUAGGGGAUGUGAAAGAGUUCAGAAAAUAAUUGAAGAACACAAGUGGAGGUGGGCUAAAGUUCAGAACAUUAUUGAAUGAGGAUAAAGGAAUCCAAUGAAGUAAAAGUAAAAGUAAAAAUGGAAGAAAAUUAUGGCAAUGGCUUCAAUGAAGGGUUCGAAUUAUUCCGAGCAUACAUAUGGUGUUGUACUUGUUUUUAUUUUUAAGUGAAAUUCUAUUAUGUUUUUGAAUUUUAAUUUUUUUAGGUUAAAAUGUUUAGAAAAUUAAAUCAUGAGUAUUGAAACAAAAAUAAUGUCAAGAAAAAUUAACAAGGAAAAAAAAUAUCAUUCUUAAACAAUUUAAUAAAGUUGCUGACUCAAAUUAUGAGUCUACAAGGUUGGAGGGAAAAAAAAUUUGAGUCCUGAAAAUACAUGAAUAGUUGUAUUUUGAAGGGUGGAAAUUUGAGUUUAGCCCUAACAUGAUUGGAGAUGGUCUUAGAGAUUUUUCUUCUCCUCUCUCUCUCUCUCUCUCUCUCUCUCUCUCUCCUGCCAACAACUCACCUCCCCUAGUUCUUAGCUUCAUCAAGAAAAAUCCCUUAGGCUAGGUGACUCACCAAUUAGACUAGGUGACUCAUCCUCAUCCCUUCAUAAUGGAAGCUUUGAAAUGAGGCAAUGGGGGAAGAGUGGGAGGAGGAUGGUUUGAUUCCCUCCACGUUUCAGAUUCUUCUUCUCUUUUUUUUUUUGAGCUUUCAAGGAUAUUUUGGUAAUUAUCCACACAUAAGGGUAUUUUGGUCAUGUUUGUCCAACUUCAAAUUAAACACACUUAAUUUAAUAAUUUCAAUCCAAAAUCAUUUCAUAAAAUACCCAUAAUCAUUCUCCACCAUAAUAUUAUUUUUCACUAAAAUAUGAAAAUCCACCUUGAAUUUUUCGAGGUAUUACACAAAUACAAAUUGAAAUAGAAUUCACAAAUUGGCUAGCUAUUCAUAAACUGCAAUUUGAAACAGAAACCACAAAUUGCCUAGUUAUUCCUAGUUGCCCUCCACUCAUUAUAUAGUUGCAAGGCCAAGUCAUCCCUCCAUGCAGUCCAUUAAUUGGAUGCUUCGACAGUGCCAAUUGUAUCGCCUUCUAUCAUAUUUUUUGCCUCAUUAAUUUUAUUCACUUCGUGCUCAAUUGGAUCCAUGGACAUCUCCCUCCUAAUGAGAUUAUGUAAAAGACAAGCAGCUAUAAUUAUCCGACAUUGUGUCGCUAUAGGGUAAAAAGACGGACUCCUUAGCAUGCCCCACCUAACUUUCAACAGCCCAAAACAUUGUUCUAUUAAUUUAUUGCUUUUGAAUGCCUCAUAUUAAAAUAUUCUUGAUGAUUUGCAGCUGUAUAUCCACCUCUCCAUUUAGAUAUAUGACAACUUAUUCCUCUAUAUGGUGCAAGAAAUUCCUUAUCAUUUAUGUAACCACCAUCUACCAGAUAAUAAUAACCUAAUAACCAAAAAUUGACAAUUCCUAUUAGUGUUGGCAUAUAAAUAUAAUUCAAAAGUGCACAUAAAGUGAAUACUUACUAAUGGCCUUACUCGUGGGAACUUUUAACCAAUUUGGCCUAGUUAUGGCAUCACAAAGGACUUGAGAGUCAUAUGCAGAUCCCUCCCAACCUAGCAAUACAAAUAUAAACUACGUGUCGCGUGAGCAAACAGCCAACACAUUUGUUGCAAUUUCACCCUUCCUAGUUUGAUAUCUCGGUUUAUCAGUUUCAGGCACACAAACUUUAAUGUAAGUUCCAUCUAGAGCUCCCAAGAAAUUCUAUUAAAAGAAAGGUUACCUUUAAUUAAAUUCUAAAAAUUUCAAAAGAAGACAAAACAACUUACUAGAAUUUCUCCAAAUUUCCAAUACAUAAUAAACAUACCUUAAAACAUUUCCAUCUAUACUCUGUGCAACUCUCACCCACAGGUUCCAGCACUCUCAAUAGGCUAUCUUGCAAUCUUAAAAUUCCUUGCAACACAGAGUUGAAGUACCUACUAAUGGUCUCACCCGAUCGAAUAAAUUUACUUCUAAUAGUACGAUUCUUCACAUGAUGUGCAAGUACAUGUAAGAAUAUACACACUUGUUCCUCCAAAGUCACCAAACCAUCAUUUUUAACCCUUCCAUUAGCGUCAAGCAACGCACAUAAUAUACCAAACGUCCAUAAAUCCAUUAUUAAUUUGCUCACACACACUACAUCAUUCUCCAAUAUACUAUUUAGAUAAUGCAACCGCGUCUCAUGUCUAACAAAGGAAUGAUUAUUAAGGUCUCAUCUUUCUAUAAGCCGUUGAUUUCUCUUCAUUUUGAACAUCAUAAGCACAAGGAUUGUGCGACCACACAUUGUCUCUAAAUACCACAUCUCCAUCAGUAAUAUCAACAAAAGCUUUCUUCGAUCCAUCUCUAAUAAAUCAUAAAAAUCAACAAAAAUUAAGCAUGUAUAUUUUUACAAACCAACAAAGUAUAUGUCUAGACGAUAUAUAUAUACAAACCAACAAAGUUUUGGCAUUGCUUAUAGUAUCUGUUUCAUUUUUUACUUUUUUCCACCUGAAACAAAUUACACUUUCCAUUUGAAAAGUGUCAAUCACCAUGAAAAAGAAAAACUAGCACCUAACAAACAGUUAUGCCAAGCGACCCAUAGAGAAAUUAUAGAACAUCCAUGAGCAAUUGAAAACCAUUAGGAAAUGAGAAUAGCAAGCAAACUGGGCACAUCAACUCGACUGAUUCCCAUUAGAAAUUUCGUUAAGAAAACCAACUCUCCCUAUUUUCAUAGUUUAUUUAAGAUAAUUGAGCAUGCCUCUUGACCUGAGCAUGCAGAAGCACUAUCCUAAAUGACUACCUAAUUCUUCUCACUCCCAAAUUGUUCUCCUGUCAACAUCAAGUCAGCUAUACAGGUUGAAGCUCUCCCGUACUUAAAUGUUUGGCAGACAUAAUUUCUCAAUUGAGCCAACUAUUUAUAUCUAUUGUGGGUUGAUACAGUAACCUCACCCUGAAAAAAGAAAAACCAGCACCCAACAAAGUAUCAGGUAAAUUUGUUGAAUAUUUUUUUUGCAGUCUAUGAUAUAAUGAGAAGAUUGUUGGUUGGUAUCCAAAAGCUCCAAUUCCACCCAUCAAUUUGUUCAUAUCUUCUCAUUCCAAACAAAAAUCCCAUAAUCAAAACAAUCCAAAAUUGAAAACCCUAGAAAAAUACCCAAUUAUAAUCCAAUGAAAAUUAACCAAUACAAAUGUUAAUUUUCAUCAAAUUAAGCUAACUACAAACAACCACAUAAUCAAAACUUAAAAAUCAAACCAAGAAAUAGCAUAUUGAACCCAUCAAAUAUCACCAAGGAGAGAGACAAACAGAGAAGAAGAGUGGAAAGAGAAGAAGAGAGUUGAACAACUAACCUUGAGUGAGUGAGUACAACACAAUAGAAGAGGAAAACAAAGCAACGUGGAAGAGGAGAGCUAGAGCAACAUCGAAGAGAAGAGCAGCGCAGAGCAAUGUUAGAUAAUGACAAACUCAAUAGCGACUUGGUUAUUUAAAGGCACCUCUUCAGAGUUCUCUAUUUUGUGCAAACGAUUGAAGUGUUUUUUGUAGGCCCGGAUUCUAUAGUCUCAUUUAACUUAAAGAUGGGGGUUAGGUGUGUUCUGAACUUUACCUCACGUUUCAAUAAAGUCCGCAACAUUUUUUUUUAACAAUUAUAUCUGUUAACUCGAUAAGUAGUUGCAAUUAGGUCCAACCGUGAUAGCCUAUCAAUUUAGCUGUCAGAACAAGGGCUAAAAACGUCAUUUCGAGUUUAAGAGUCUCCUAACCACUGCCUCAACCCUAAUUACUUUACUAACCAUUCAAUAUCGACGCCUUUUGCAAAGGAAGGAUAGUCCAAGUACAGUUUUUUGUACUCCUUUUGAUUCCGUCACAAGGCACUUGUGAGUCUGAUUCCAUGAGCAGCUUUUUAACCAAAAUAUGCAACUCCGUUAUCAUUCCUGAUAAUCACCCCCAAGCCAAUCUUAAAAGUUGAUCCAAACCAAGCUCCAUCAAAAUUGACCUUGAAGGACCCGACUGGAGGAGGGCACCAAAAAACAGCAGGAGCACUGGAACAAAGA
rnacentral:lncRNA from 1 species